rnacentral:rRNA from 1 species
AUUGAACGCUGGCGGCAUGCCUUACACAUGCAAGUCGAACGGCAGCACGGGUGCUUGCCCCUGGUGGCGAGUGGCGAACGGGUGAGUAAUACAUCGGAACAUGUCCUGUAGUGGGGGAUAGCCCGGCGAAAGCCGGAUUAAUACCGCAUACGAUCCACGGAUGAAAGCGGGGGACCUUCGGGCCUCGCGCUAUAGGGUUGGCCGAUGGCUGAUUAGCUAGUUGGUGGGGUAAAGGCCUACCAAGGCGACGAUCAGUAGCUGGUCUGAGAGGACGACCAGCCACACUGGGACUGAGACACGGCCCAGACUCCUACGGGAGGCAGCAGUGGGGAAUUUUGGACAAUGGGCGAAAGCCUGAUCCAGCAAUGCCGCGUGUGUGAAGAAGGCCUUCGGGUUGUAAAGCACUUUUGUCCGGAAAGAAAUCCUUGGCUCUAAUACAGUCGGGGGAUGACGGUACCGGAAGAAUAAGCACCGGCUAACGACGUGC